rnacentral:rRNA from 1 species
UACGUAGGGUGCAAGCGUUAAUCGGAAUUACUGGGCGUAAAGCGUGCGCAGGCGGUGAUGUAAGACAGUUGUGAAAUCCCCGGGCUUAACCUGGGAACUGCAUUUGUGACUGCACAGCUGGAGUGCGGCAGAGGGGGAUGGAAUUCCGCGUGUAGCAGUGAAAUGCGUAGAUAUGCGGAGGAACACCGAUGGCGAAGGCAAUCCCCUGGGCCUGCACUGACGCUCAUGCACGAAAGCGUGGGGAGCAAACAGG